GAUCCUGGCUCAGAGUGAACGCUGGCGGCAGGCCUAACACAUGCAAGUCGAGCGGCAGCGCGGGGGGCAACCCUGGCGGCGAGCGGCGGACGGGUGAGGAAUGCAUCGGAAUCUACCUCGUUGUGGGGGAUAACCUCGGGAAACCGGGACUAAUACCGCAUACGACCUACGGGUGAAAGUGGGGGACCGCAAGGCCUCACGCGAUGAGAUGAGCCGAUGCCGGAUUAGCUAGUUGGCGGGGUAAAGGCCCACCAAGGCGACGAUCCGUAGCUGGUCUGAGAGGAUGAUCAGCCACACUGGAACUGAGACACGGUCCAGACUCCUACGGGAGGCAGCAGUGGGGAAUAUUGGACAAUGGGCGCAAGCCUGAUCCAGCCAUGCCGCGUGUGUGAAGAAGGCCUUCGGUUGU
rnacentral:rRNA from 1 species